AGUGGCGCACGGGUGAGUAACACGUGAAUGAUCUACCUCCGAGUGGGGAAUAACCUAGAGAAAUCUGGGCUAAUACCGCAUAACACUUACGAGUCAAAGCAGCAAUGCGCUUGGAGAGGAGUUCGCGGCCGAUUAGUUAGUUGGCGGGGUAAUGGCCCACCAAGACGAUGAUCGGUAUCCGGCCUGAGAGGGCGCACGGACACACUGGAACUGAAACACGGUCCAGACUCCUACGGGAGGCAGCAGUGGGGAAUUUUGCGCAAUGGAGGAAACCCUGACGCAGCAACGCCGCGUGGAGGAUGAAAUCCCUUGGGAUGUAAACUCCUUUCGAUCGGGACGAUUAUGACGGUACCGGAAGAAGAAGCCCCGGCUAACUUCGUGCCAGCAGCCGCGGUAAUACGAGGGGGGCAAGCGUUUUCGGAAUUAUUGGGCGUAAAGGGCGCGUAGGCGGUCUGACAAGUCUGAUGUGAAAUCUCUGGGCUCAACCCAGAGUCUGCAUUAGA
rnacentral:rRNA from 1 species